UGAAACAUCAAACUUCAGUUAUUUAGCAUCAUAAUCCUCUGUUCAAACCGGUAUAUUCAACAUCCCCAAAUAUGCAAAAUAAAACUAUUUCGCACAAAAGUUCUCUGUAAAUUUUGUAAGGGAAAUGGUGAAAACAAAAAUUUUGUUAUUAACACCGUUCCCUUUCCAAAAUCCUGAUCUAUAACACAAGAAAUAAGGAGGUACUUUGGAAAUUAUUAGUGAAAAUAAAUCAGCCAAACAUCACAAUAGACAACACAUAACAAAACUCCACCUAAAAGCUGAAAUCCAAAUUCACCCACUUGCUACUAGUCAUAGGUGAAUCUUACUGUAUAACCAAAAAGCACAAAAAAAAAGAGGAAACAACCAUGCCUAUCCAACUGAAACUACAGGGGUUUUAUUAUGUCAUUAAAUCUAGAUUACAAAAGUUUCCUUGAUUUCUUUUCUAUUUUGAAGAACUCCAUCUAGAUCUUACUGAAAUGCUUUCCAAAUAAUCGUAUCUAGAUCUUCCUUGAAAAACCUUUUUUCCUCGUGCAUUCUCAAUUUAUUAUCCCCCCAUAAAUUCUUAAUGGAUAAAGCAACAUAAGAAAAUAUUUUCCCCUAGCCUUAGCAUAAGGCAAAUAGGGAAGAUAUUUGAGGUAAGAGUGAGAAAUAGCAUGUACCAAUAUCAGAAAAGUUAAAAAGGAAAUUAGGUCUAAAAUAGUGUAUCAUAUUUUCAUUGUAUGAAGGCAUAGCUGCAGAGACAAUAAAUAGAUACAGCCAAACACUAACCGACAAAAAAAAUAGACACCUAUGCUAAUAGAAAAGAGAAAACAGUAAUCGGUGCACUGCACCACUAAUGCAGCAGGGGAAAGCACAGCUGUCCCAUAAAUCAAAACAGAAUUAAUUCAGCUCCCCUCUAGGUGACGUGUGUCUGUGUUAUUUAAUAGCCCCCCACAAGCUGGAGACCCAGCUUGGGAACUAGAGAAUGAAAAUGUUUGGGGCUCAAAGCUUUGGUGUGGAUGUCAGCAAGUUGUUAAGAAGAAGAAAUAGGCAAUAAUCUCAUUAGCCCAUGUCGAGUCUUUUCUCUACAAUGUGACAUUCCAACUCUAUAUGCUUUGUCCCUUCAUGGAAAACUGGGUUGGCAGCUAUAUGCAAAGCAGAUUGAUUGUCACAAUAAAGCAAAGUUGGAGUCUUGAAAGGGACUUGAAGAUCUUGCAAGAGAAAGGACAAGCAGCCCAGUCACUUUCAUGAAAGCUUUCAGUUGAAGGGCAGAAUCAGAUGGGAAAAAUAAUCCUAGGCCUGGUGCCUUUUUGAUGUAACAAAGAAUCCUGAGAGCAGCAAUGUAGUGUGCUGUUGUUGUCUUGGAAAGGAAUUGUGCAAGAUGAUGCACAGCAUAAGUUAUAUCUGGCCGUGUGUCUGUGUUAGGUUCCUUUAUACAAGGAGCCGAACAGUAGCAAAAAAUACACACACUCAACAGUAUAAAGAAAUAUGCAUGUAUCUAUAUUUCUAUUUCCUCUGUAAUGUAUAGAAAAGAUGAAUACAGGUAUCUAUCUCUCCCCCAAGGAAGCCUCCCUUCCUCCACUGGCCACUAGGUCCAGUCUCAAUUCCAAAAUAAUAUUCGAUACCCUCUCUCCUUAA